AUUGAACGCUGGCGGCAUGCCUUACACAUGCAAGUCGAACGGCAGCGCGGGGCAACCUGGCGGCGAGUGGCGAACGGGUGAGUAAUAUAUCGGAACAUGCCCAGAAGUGGGGGAUAACGUAGUGAAAGUUACGCUAAUACCGCAUACGAUCUACGGAUGAAAGUGGGGGACCGCAAGGCCUCAUGCUUUUGGAGUGGCCGAUAUCUGAUUAGCUAGUUGGUGGGUAAAGGCCUACCAAGGCGACGAUCAGUAGCUGGUCUGAGAGGACGACCAGCCACACUGGAACUGAGACACGGUCCAGACUCCUACGGGAGGCAGCAGUGGGGAAUUUUGGACAAUGGGGGGCAACCCUGAUCCAGCAAUGCCGCGUGUGUGAAGAAGGCCUUCGGUUGUAAGCACUUUAGGUCGGGAACGGAAACGGGUAGGUUUCGUAAUACAGACGCC
rnacentral:rRNA from 1 species